UAAUGUGGAAUAUAGCAUAAUUAAGUGUAAAGUUUUGCACUGUGUCAUUUUUUUAAAGUGCCACAGUAUAGGUUAUAGAAGACGGAGAGAUUUAUAGUUUCUAGCAAGUUUAUUGAAAGUCCAGAGAAGGAUAGUACCAGAGAAGCAACAUAGUGUUAGAUGGCAUUGAGAGAAGUGUAGUAUUAAGAACAUGGGAGAUAGUUAGUUCUGCUGUACUGGUACUACACAUUUUAAGAGGGUGUGGCAUUUUAUGAGGGGCAUUGGUAAACUGAAGAGUAAUCAAGGUGGUAAAUUAACGUAGAUGUGAAGUCCUGUCUGUAGAACAGUAGACAGAAAUGGGAAUAUUUAACCUGGAGAGGAAUUCGGGAUUGAGGAGGGAAACACAACAAUUUUUUGCACAUAGAGAAUUUGUAGUGCAGUUAAGGUACGGAUUUUUCCAGUUAGAUCUAGACGUUAGAACUAGUGCCAGUAGAUAGACAUUACUGAAAAACAAGAUUUUGACGCCAUACACCCAUAGCAAGUAUUGGAUCACCUAUACAUCUCCCUGUCCUUUCCCCCUCCCUUCCUUCCAAGGGAAUCUUGAUUCUGUUUAAGUAAUCUCCCCACUCUGCACAACUUUGUCUUUCAAGAGAGGCAGAUCCCAGCUCCAGGGGGGCAAAUCGUGAUCAAUCUCAGCCAAUCAUGACGAACCAUUUUCCUUGCCAGUGAUUGGCCAGAUGUAGUUCUGGCCAGUAAGAUGUGUGCUAGGGGUCUGCAGACGCAGAUAUUCCUCUCUGAUAAAAAGAUUCAGAAGGGAAGAAAUAAUCUUACAGUGGACAUUGUUACGUCUGCAUAUGAAGCCUGGAAUGAUGGGAGCUGUCUUGAAGCCAUAAGAAUUGCUAAAUCAACAUGCUAAUAUAUCCUGAUACUGUUGAUUUUUCCUCAGUUGUGUAGGACCAAAAUGGUUCCCAACAGAGCUGUUCUGAAAUGGAAAAGAUUACUUUCCGAGGAAGCAGUCUUUUUGUCCUUGGAGAUAUUUAAGCAAAAGUUGAAUAAACACUUGAUAGACUUGGGAUUCCAGCACUGGUGAAAGUUUGGACUUACAUGACCUUAGAUCUUUUCUAACUAAAUGAUUCAGGCGUUAUACCAUUCUAAAAACAAAACAAUGAAGCAAUCCACAGUUGAGACAGAAAAAUGCUGGGAUCUGCUUAGCUUCUCCAUUUUGUGCCCUCUUAGUUCUAGGGUCUCUACUUCUUUGAAGGAUGAAUGUGGAGCAUGGUUUCUAAUCAUCUUAGGUAGCCCAUUUUCCUUUCUUUGAAUAUGUUGUCUGCUGCUUUAUAGUUUCCAGGGGGAAGGAGGUAGGACGUAAUUCUAUUUGAGUGUAAAAGACCUUUUCUGCUGUUUAGAUGCACUGAUUUAGGGAGAGAAGUAUCUUCAGAGUAGACGUCAGAAGGUUUGUCUUACUGUAGCAAUUUAAAUCUUAGUCUUUUUCUCUUAGUUUUUUCCUUUUGGAAUAUGUACCCAUUAAUCCAUCUUAUUAGAAGAGGAUGUUGUUAGGGACACAAUGACAUGAAAAUGCUUUGGGAAAUAAUAGUAGUGGUAGGCAUUUAUUAGAAAUGUUUUGUGCUAUUUGAAUUCAUAAGUUGGGAGUGCAUUCUUUAUUAUAUUGAGAUCAAACAAGUAGUUCAUUAUUAAAUCGAUGUGUCUCUGCCCUUUGAAUUCAAGAUGGUAGUGAGAAGCUAAGUAAUCUAAAAAACAAAAAUGAAGUACAAAUGAAUCUCCCUUUAUUCAUUGUGGACAUUAUCAGAAACGUCAGAUUUAAGUCGUUCUCAAUGUUUAAUUGGAGUGUCUUAUUUUAUAUGAGAAAUAAAGGCAAAAAAGCUUUGAAUUUAGGUUUCCUUUCCUAACAUGACCCAAAGGUGGUAUAGAAAGAGAGACUGUCCACAUAGUCUUGUGAAGCUUCUUUUUGAACUUAGUUUUUCUUUUCUCAUAUAAGGCGUAUUUGGCUUAAGCUAUCAGGAAAAUAAGUUAACAUACAUGUGAAAAUAAGUCUUCUCUUAACACGUUACCACAUUUCAGAAGUUGAAAGAUGAACUCAAAAGGGACAAAUUUGUCUUCUGGAAUAGUGACGCAACUGGUAGUUUUGCGAGGUUCCCUUUUUUCCUUCGCAUUUUAGAUUUCUAUUUUAACUCUCCCCAGACCUGUCCCAUCCCAGAAUUCUCCAUCUCCUUGCCUAACAGGAUUUUUUUUUAAAACCAUGCUAACCCUGAGCAGUUGGUCAAUGGGGAAAAUUUGUCUUUGGCCUUUCCUGUCCCUCUUUAUGUUACAUGUUUCACAUAUAAUUUAUAGGGUUCUUCUUACUCUUAGGCAGCCAUAUUGAUCUUUCAUGGGUAGUGAUAGACUCCAGAUCUUUUUCAUUAUGCCCCUUCACCAAAAUGUAUCAAUUCUGUAUGUUUCCUGCCUAGUAAUAAGCUCCCACCUGUUCUGUAGUGAUCAAUCUCAUAUUCAGCCACAGAAUUGUGUUAAUAGAUGUCAAUGUGUUACCUUCUCUCCCCUUUAUUUAAAAAGUAAACAAACAUGGGAAUGCUUGAAGACCUAGUUUGGCCUUGCUAUGCCCUGUUAAGUGUACCCUGGGUGCCAGUGGCCUCUGUGAGUGCUUGCUGUACGUAGAGGUGGGGGAUUCAUUCUGCCUUUCCCCACUUGCAGCUUGGAGCACUAGUAGCUGUCUUGCCUUGGGUCUUCAGCUCAAUACUCAGGGCCAGUUUCAUGGGCAGACAACCUGUGCAAUUGUACAGGGCCCCAUGCUUGGUUUAACCUUUUCCUGUUGCCAUCUUGAAAUUCUUAAUUUUUUUUUUUGCAAAGGCUCUGCAUUUUUGUUAUGCACUAGGCCCUGGAAAUUAUGUAGCUGUCCUAUUGAUAAACUCCAAUUCAGUGUCCACUAUUUUUCCUCCAUUUGCUGCCAGCUUUCGCACAGGGCUUCCUGUGCUGCCUCAGAGCUCGCCAUCUUCUGCUCUCCCCACUUUUUUAACCCACCCCACCACUCCCUGUCAUGUUUUUAACUCUCUUUUCUAACUCCUAACUUAUAUUUAUCUCAGUCAACCCUAAAGUGCUCUUGUACUCACAGGGUUUGUCUUUUAUAAUUGUUUGAUCAGUUUGCUGAUCAAUUUUAGUACUUUCUUGAGCUUUGACAAAGACUUGAUUCGAAUUCUGUUGAGGAACCCCUGUAGUAAGUUUCUUCAGCUUCUGCCUCUGACUUCUAUACUUCAAAAAAGAUACAAAAUAUGUGCUUGUUUCUGGUUAGUUACGUUCUGUGUUUAAUUGAGGUGUAACUGCCUUGGCAUUGAGUUGGUCCCGGAUAUGAGUGUGUUAUUGAUGAUCUCAGGAGUCUAUGAGAUUAGGGUAGAAACUUAGCUGUAGCAGUAUCCAGCUUUGCUAUUUUGCAGAUAGAGUAAAAUAAAUGAGCUACACUUUAGAUAAUAAAAUAGUAUUAAAGUUUUUUUUUUCUUCCUUGAAUGAUUACAAUAUAGAAUAUAGUUUCAGACAUAAAUGUCAGGAAAUUAGAAUCAUUCUGGUAGGGGAGAUAGAAAAUAAAUACGGAAAAAUAGAAUGUAGUGCUAGCACUAAAUUGUGGUAGGAAGAAAACUGCGGGAUGAGGAAGGGGCCCUGGAUUGACUGGGAUGGGAUGGGUGGGAAGGGCUAUUUUAUUUUAGACAGAUUGGCCAUGGUGGCCUCCUGAGGAGUUAGCAUUUGAGUAGGAACCUUACUGAGAUGAAGCAGGAGGGCCAUGACAGUUAUGAAAGAAGAGUGGCCCCAGAGGAGAAAACACAAAUUCAGAUAGUCUUAGGUAGCACGUGUGGAGCAUAGUCCAGGAAGUGCAGUGUAUUUAUUUCCUAAUAAUGUCUGCCAGUAAACAGAAGGGAGAUCUUUUUGUGGGGCAGGGGGGACACAUUGAAUUUCUUCAGGAGAUUCAGUCUCUAAACAUGUAAAAUAUGGAGGAGAUAUAUUUUUUGAUGGUCACGUAUCUUAUCUGUGUACUUGAAUUUUUUUUCCCAAAGAUUUUGUUUUUUUCCUUUUUCUCCCCAAAGCCCCCCGGUACAAAGUUGUAUAUUCUUAUUUGUGAGUCCUUCUAGUUGUGGCAUCUGGGACGCCACCUCAGCAUGGCUUGAUGAGCGGUGCCAUGUCCGCGCCCAGGGUCCGAACCGGUGAAACCCUGGGCCGCUGCAGCAGAACUCGCAAGCUUAACCAUGGCCAAGAGGCCGGGCCCUGUACUUGAAUGUUUAAUUGAUGAGUAUUUCUAUUCUUAGUUCCAGUUUGUGUUGGUGUCGGUGUUGUUGAGGAAACUUCAUCAAGCUUCACACUGUAGCAGAUGGGCUUGAUGGUGGGGCAUGUCUUCAUGCAAUUUGACUGCUUUAGUUGACCAUCCGAUAUGAAACAGAAAAGCAGAUUUCUGGCUUAGAGUAUUUGUCAAAAUAGAAUUCCCUCAUAAAAAAAUCUUUAGUUCACUUUUAAAAGACAAUGACUAGCAUUUUUUCUAGGUUAACUUUACAACAAGAGCCUAAGUUCUGCAAUCAGAAGGUUCUCGGCAACUUAAAGCAAAUUGUCAAGAAAAAUAUUGUAAAUGUUUGUGUGUGGGGCAUAUACUUUUAAAGUUUAAUCACUUAAAUUUUACAGUAUUAGUGGAUUUGUUUAUUUCAUUACUAGAUAAGGAAAAUAAUUGUGUGUUUAUUUUUCCUGCCUAGGUUUUCCCUGGGAAGCUAACAUUGUCAACGCUAAAACUUUUGAAGAUUAUGCCAAGAGGCUAUUUGUUUAUUUGAGGGAACUGCAGGAGUAGAUUGCGGCCGUAUCGGGCGUGUUCCUCUAGGAUGUUAUAGCUGGAUGAUGUUUGAAGAGUUUUCAAAAAAAUUUUAUUUGACUUUUCAGUUCUUACUGAUACUCUUUCAUGCCAUUUUUGUUAUUUGGAAGUAGUUGGUAUCUUUUUUUCCCCUUUGAUGAGAACAACAAAUCUGACAUAACUGUUGAGCUGGGACCUGUCAAGGCGCUCAUUAGGACACUCACAGCUGUUGUAAGGUUAGUCUUCCUUUGGGAGCCUCAAGUAUUCUGUUUUAUUUACAUUUUCAUCUGGGUCCUCUAAGUCCUGCAGUAUUAAUAUUUUCAGUGUUUAGCUAGCUACAUGUCUAAUACUGUAUAAUAUAGUCUACUUAAGCUGGGCUGAUUAGAAGAAAACAUGUAUUUGAAAAUACAGAAAGAAUCAUGAUAGAUUAUUAAGGAUCUUGAAUACUUGCCAACAGAUGAGGACUCCUAGCGAGUCAGUUGUGUUGGAAGGAUUGUAUCAUGUGUAUGAAAGUACUUUGUAAACUAAAUCUUUGUCAAGUGCCAAUUGUCUUAAAAAUAUUUAUCAUCCUUGUGUACUGUUGGUAGGAAUGUAAACUAAUACAAACACUAUGGAAAAUAGUGUGUUCGUUCAUCAAAAAAAUGAAAAAUAGAAUUACCAUAUCAUUCAGCACUUCCACUUCUGGGUUUAUUCCUCCCAAAAUUGAAAGCAGAAUCUCAAAGAAAUAUUUGUACAUUCAUGUCCAUAGCACUGUAAUUCAGAACAGCCAAAAGGUGGAAGCAACACAAGUGUCCAUUGAUGGAUAAAUGGAUAAACAAGAUGUGGUAUUUACAUACAAAUGAAUAUUAUUCAGCUUUAAAAAGGAAGGACGCAUUUAAAAACAAACAAGCGCACGAACCUGGAGGAACCUGGAGGACGUUUUGCUAAGUGAAAGAAACCAGACACAAAAGGACAAAUACUGUAUGAUUCCGCUUACAUGAGAUACCUAGAGCAGUCAGAUUCACAGAGACAGAAAGGAGAAUGAUGGCUGCGGGGGGGAGGUGGGGAGGGGAAUUGGCAAUUAUUGUUCAGUGGCUCUGGGGUCUCAGUUUUGUGAGAUGAGGGGAACUCUGGAAAUGGAUGGUGGUGGUGGCGCAACAAUUGUGACUGUACUUAAUACUACUGAUAAUUGUUGAAACUGAGUGAGGGUACAUGAGGGAUCAUUGCACUAGUCUAUUGACUUUGUAUUUAUUUGAAAUUUUCCAUAAUAAAACAUUUUAAAAAGUGAUUACUUGUCAUUCAGUUUAGAAGACUGAUUUUUUCCAUCAGGAGUUUCUAGUGGCUGCUGUAACUCCAAAACGAAUGGGCGUUUCCAGUGAUAGAGACGGUGUGGCUAGUGAGGAGCAGAACAGACUGAAGCUUUCUGUCUGGAGGAAUGAUGUUGCUUUUCACAGAAAGGACAUCGAAAGGGGCGUAACUUUAGAGAGCAAGAGUGUCGUAGGAAGUUAAGCUCUAAGCGAAAGACAUGAGGCCUAAGACUGAAAUGAGGUUGUUUUGAGGCCAUCUGAUUUCUGACUAGAAGGUGUGCGAUCGCCUCGUCCUGAAACCACUUCAAACAGAAUGGUUUGCAAUUUUUUUUGGUGAUGGCAUGUUCAGAAUCUUGGAUCCCUAAGUUGAAUAUAUUGGAAAUAUUUAGGAACCUUGGAAAUUGUUUUUGUAUGCAUAAUGACUUACUAGGUGAAUCAGUAGACUUAAUCAAAAGUAUAUAAAAGAGUAGGUAUAAUAAUUUGUGUUUCUAAGUUGGCAUGCAUGUUUCGAAUUCUCUCCUACCAGUAUUAGUGUCAUAGUCUAGACAGAGUUAUCUUCUGAAGAUUUGGGGUUUUUGUGGUCCUCCUAUGUAAUCCUCCCAUGCCGGUUUGGUCAGCUUGUUUUCCUUUCUAUCUGCCUUGCAGUGUUGCUUACUUAGAUUAGAGGUAAUUAUUCAUCAGGAAGAGAGAAGAGAAAAAAAGUCGUAAAGUGACAAUCCUAAAGGUAGUAAUUACAAAAUUUCAACCUGGAAAUGACCUGAGCAUGGUCUAUGUUAGAAAAUGCAAAUUCGACCAAGUUAUAUACACAUACACUUGUGGCAAAAUGCUGCCAAUUUUCCAAUUAGAUGUUGUUAUGUAGGACAGGGUGCUAAUGAGGAGGAAAAAGAGCUGUUUAGUUUCACAUCCUCCCCCCUCCCUAUUGUUGGGUGAAUGAAUUAGUGGAAAGUAAAAUCGACAAGAGGUAGAUGGUAUGAAUGAAAAGAAGGAACAAAACUUUAAUCUCCAGGAAAGAUUAUUUCCCCUUAAAAAAUUGAAAGUUGGCUAUAUUCCAUGUACCUGAACACGCUAUUCUGAAACCAUAGGCCACUUUCAUGUAGACCUAGAAUGUGAGCUAGGGGAUUCUCGCCCAUAGGAGUGGGUGGAGAACCUGUAUUUCAUAGGAGAGUCACACAGUCCCUGGGCCACUGGGGCGCCAUUAUCAGUGGUUGUCAUUUUCUCUGGCCUGUUCCUGCUGGGAUUAGGAAACUGGAACGUUCUGGGGCAGAUUGUUAUUUUGAUGGUCAAAUAUGACUGCCUCCCUACUCUUUUGACCAAAAUUGGGGAAAGACUGAUUUUUAAGACCAUAUUCAGAGCAACUUGAAAAAGAAUCAAAGGGAAAGGAUGAGGAGAAUUCAGGAAACUAGAGAGACUGAAUGUAGCUUGGUAGAAUGUUAAUGUAUUCGUUUAUUCUAAGGUUUAUUAUUGGUAGAUUAUCCAGUAAUACCGAAAUUGGUGUAUAAUAGAAAUUUUCAUAACAUUUCUAUUAGAAGGCUUUUAAAAGCUAAAUAGGCUAUAUUGUAACUGCCCCCCCCCCCAAUCUUCUUACUUUGCUUUGUUUGAAGAGGAAUAGGCUGAUAUAUAUUUAAUAGGUGGCACAUUUAAAACAUUAGAUAGGUUUUUAAAAAUCAAGUUAUAUCAAUGUAAAUCUGUUGCCUAUUUAGCUGCUUUUCUAUUACACCUGGCUUUUUAAAAGCUGUUUUUGUGAUACUUUUGUCAAUAGAGGUGUUUCCUCUUAGCCAGUUCUAGCCACGAUGUUGACUGGACCUCAGCAUGUGAUAUACCCAGAAGGAUUUAGACAGGCAGGAAAAAACUUGGUUCCUACUAGAAUGAAUAUUUUAAAGACCUUCUUAGAUUCUUAACACUUUGAGUACAAAUGAAAGAGACCCAAGAGAGGGAAAGAUUUAAGAGCCUAAGAAUAAAAAGCGGUGGGGAGGGUCGGGGGUGAUCUCUUAUAUAGCUAACCUGAGGGCACUGAGGGUUGUGAGGAGGCGUGUGGAAGUGACAGUGGGCAUUCUCAUGUUAAUUUAGGCAUUCACUCUAGCCUGCUCUAGUAGUUUAAGGAUAGUGGCAGGUGAUCUUGGGAAAUAUUAAUGCAUUUCCUAACAAUGAAUUUGAUUUUAUUUUGGUAUGCUGUAAAUGGAUAUGUGGCUCAAAGAUGAACUUAAUUCAAAAUACUUAUCUUAGAUACUAGGAAAAAUAUUAUAAAAAUGGGUUUUUUGUCCCUGUUACAUAGCUUUAGAAAAUAACAUACAAGACUGAGCAUAGCAGGGAAUUGAUGGCAUGAAUGUAAUCAGUAUUUUAUGGUUGCUUUCUAAAAACUUUUAAAUAAAACCUUGAAUUUGUUUGCCAUUGGGCUCAGUGGUACCAUAGCAGCAUUUUAGUGUUUAUCUCAUGGAAAAUCUGUACCUUCUUGGGUCACUGCACUUCAUAGUCUGGCACAUCACUGUGAGAAUGCAGAAAUCUGACUCAGUUUACUCAGGGAUGAACAGAUCUUUCUAAGUUUGGGUACAAUAAGUGCAUAGGGACACACAGAGAACGCCUAGGAUAAUGGCUCUUUGCAUCUUGGAAGUUUUAACCCCAUUUUGAAAAUCUGAAGAAAGCUAUAGCUCCUUUCCCCGACAAGACUGUGGUUUCUUAGGGAGGGGGACUGCCCUUGAUCAUCAGCACAGGAAGCCCUGAUCGAAAAGAUCAUCUUCAUUUUACUUCUGACCUUGCUCUGACUUUGUUGUCGCUCUCUGUCAGGUUCUCUCUCGCCUCUGAAAGGAGCGUCAAAUCUCGAAGGACGCUUACUGCUUUACACAUUGAACUGAAGCUCCUGUCCCGAGCUUUGUCAUGUAAUGGAGCAGAAAUCCUCUGCACAGGGCCCUCAGCGUCCAGGUGCUGAGAACAGAGCCCGAGACGUUGAGGGGUGGCACUGCCCUCCUCGUAAGACCUGCGCCUGCUGGUUUAGGGGUGUUUGUUUCAUAGUCAAGUUGAAUGUUAAUGUUUUCUUUUUAAAAAUGAGCAUAUUUCUUCUACAUUUUUUAUUAUUAUAAAUUUUUUUUUUACCUAACUGUGACUUUUUCUCAUGUCUUAAGAUAUCAAAUUCAUGGUGUAAAAUGUGUACUUUAGAUUAACAUAGUGACUGGAAAUUUAGGAUUCUGUUAUUUUUUGACUCUGAAAUUUGUAGCACGUUUUCAAGAAGAUUGUUCAGAUUCCCAGAUAAUUGGUUCUUUAUUCCUUUCAAGUUUCCUAAAUGUAUAAUUACUUCAGAAUUUUAUUAAUCCAUUUAUAAGUUUAGAGAAAGCUGUCUUCAGUUUAUAUUUUGACACAGAAUGGAUGUGUUUGAUUUAUCUUAUUCGGAAUAUGUUUUGACAAAAGUUUGCUUUCAAGUAGCUCUCAUCUUCGUUUUGGAAUCUCAGAUCACCUGCUUGUAAUCACUCAUUGGGACUUUUCUGCAAAAUACAGCUUCACUGAGAAGGUCGUCCUUGGAAAAUCAAGAAUUGGGACUGAGUGGAGAGAUGGAAGAGCGUCAUCAGAUUGAGCCCAGCACGUUCUGGAAACGUUAGACUGCAUUGCCUUUGUACAUGGACCAUAAUGUGACUGUCUUUUGUGAAUUGGACCUAUAGACAGAUAAAAUAACCUCGUAAAAUGUACCUUUACUGUAAGAAGAACACCACUCCAGUCUCUAGACCAUUCUGUCAGUACAGUGUGCUCCUGAUUACUCCCCUGCUGAAGGGGAGCCUGGGUCACUGAACUUGACUGAGAAGUAGACGUCGUGUGUUCUGGAUUUGAAGGUGAUUUUGUAUUUCCUUUUGGAAUGUGGUGUCUCGAUCUUUCCAACAUGAGCCUCACAAUUUCAUGCCCUGAGAGAGGAGCCCAAGUACCUCUGCGCUGACACUCGUUCUCUGUCCUUCUUUUUUCCUGUACUGUUGACUUCAAUGUGGGGAAAACAUCAAGCAUAUAGGAUUCCAGAAUUGGUCAGAAUCCUAUGAAAUCUAUCCCGCUUACCCUUCCAGGUAAUUUUAUUGCAUGUCCUUCCCGGCUCAUGUAAAUGAUGCCAAGUUUGGGGCCCUUUCUUAGGUCAGGAUAGAGUUACAGCCGCACUGUUCAGGCCUCUUCCUCCCAUUGUCACGUUUGGUCUUGCCUGCAGUGGGAGGUUUUCAGUCACCUUACUGUGAAAGAGUCCACUCGUGUCCUUUCGUUUCCAUCUGCCUUCCUGCAUGUUCUGGUGGGGAAAUAGAAUAGAUCUACACUUCGGGCUCUUAGCUGUCUAAGGGUUGCCUGUAAAAAUUCACAGCAUUGUAUUUACAACACAGCUUUUUAGCUGUGGUGUUGACAGUAGUCCCCAGUGGACAUCUGCUCUGUGCUGGGCGCCUUACCAGGUGUGGUUGUCCACUCUUCCUCUCCCCUGCUCCAUUCUCUGGAGGCCAGGAGUGAACUUCAUCAUGCCUCAGGCAUCAGAAGAACCAGAAGUCACUUCCUGUAAGCUUGCUGGUUCCUGGGGUCCUGAGUUAACGAGGUAGUAAGAGAUCCAUGUGUUCCCGCCUGGAUGCUGGUAAAAACAGAUCAUGUGCAGAGAGGCCCGUGGGGGCUGGGGCGAAACAGGUGAAGGGGAUGAAGAGUUACAAACUGACAAUUAUAAAAUAAAUAUGCCAUGGAGAUGUAAUAUGCAGCAUAGGGAGUAUAGUCAAUAAUAUAGCCACUUUAUAGGGGGACAGAUGGUAACUAGACUUAUUGUGGUGAUCAUUUCAUCAUAUAAAUAUCGAAUCACUAUGUUGUACACCUGAAACUAACGUAAUGUUGUAUAUCAAUAAUACUUCAAUAAAAAAAAAUCGUGCAGAAAAAGUGAUCAUGUCAAUAUGAUUUUUAAUGUAAGAUUUGUCAAAAAAAAAAAAAAGGCCAAAUUUUAGGUUAACCUACGUGAACCCACAUUGAAUUUCCAGGUAUCUCUUACCUAAAAAAAAAAAAUCGACCUCGUCCUUAAAAAACAUUACCUAAUUUGGUAAUGUCAGGGUCAUUUCCCUGACAUUUUCAAAAUGUGAUAUUACUCUAAAAAUUUUUUACACUUAGUUUUCAGAAACACGUGCAAAUAUGUUUUGUGUAAAAGAGUAUCUACUGUAUAUAAUAAUUUUCUGACUCUUGCUCUAAUAAAUAUUAAACUUAAGUGGUCUCAUUAUUUAAAACCUAAUAGUUAAAUUUUUUGAGUAAAAUUUUACAGCAUAUCCUAUCGUUACUUUUCAUGUAAUGUACAGAUGCUCGUAGAGCUGCCUGUGUGGGUUUGUUUUCCACAUAUAAAAAUAUUGUAAACAGAGUCCACGUCUUCAGUAAGAGUUUCUGGACCUUUGGCUGUAAUUACCAAGUGUUUGGGAUUGAGCUGGCUGGAAAUGCAAAUUGAGCUUUUCUGUGCGUGUAGCAAACUUUGUGCAAAUAAAGUAGCUUUGUACUCUGAA